rnacentral:lncRNA from 1 species
CGAAGUGCAGUUAUGGAACGUGUAGACUAAAGAGCCUGAAUGGUUGGAGACUCGUUGGUGUGAGGGCACAGAAACGGGUCUGGGAGGAGCGAUAACCGUGAGGUGCUGGUGCUGGGAGCUCAGAGCGGUCAGUUCCUGCCAGCCUCCCUCGGUUUUGACCAGGGGAGGGUGUAGCUGAGACUUGGUAGAGGGAAACAUUGUAUACUUCAGGGCAGACAACAAGGAACUGAGAGGUGAGGGUACUGGCUCAAUUGUGCAGGUGGACCUGUGCCUACACAAACAAGGAAAAGAUUCAAAACAGAAAAGUACAUAGAGUGUGGGAAGAAAAAGAAAACAGCUAUCGGCGAUUUCAGGGUGAAGUGUGGUCCAGCGAGAGUCGGUUUCCAUGAGCCCAAGAAGGCAACUGGAAACCUGAGAGCAUGGAGCUCGGUGACCUGAGGCAUUGUGUGGAUGUCUCAUCAUGAGUCCCAGAAAGUUCGCUAAAAUGAUUUAAAGCAGGAUGGAGAGGAGGUGCUGAGAGGUGAGUGGUGACUUAUGACCUCAGAGAAAACUGGUUUGAAGCUGAGCUCUCCUAGUCAGCAGAACUGAAAAAUAACUUCUAGUAAGGUGGACAAAGUGAUGACCAGGCUUGAAAAUCGGAGUCCAAUUCCCAGACUUUGAUCUCUAAAACUCAUAAAAAAAAAAAAAAGUGCUGGCUGGUUUGGUGCUGCUGGUUUGUCAUCCCAACCAUGGAGGACAGAGACAGGCAGAGCAGAUCCUCAGGACUCGACGGCCACUCAGUCCACUGCGCAAGCUCCGGACCAACCGAAGACUCUGCCUCGGACCAAAACAAAACAAGGGGUGUGGCUCUGAACACACAGACUUCAAAAUGAUAACACUCUCAAAAUAAACACACUUAGAAAUAGAGAGCUGGGGCAGAGGGGAGAGUGCCUGCACCUAGGAAGGAAGGGCUUCCGGAUUAAGCCUUGCUUUUCUGUCCCAGAAAACUGUAUUCCGGAGGAUGCGGAGGGUCGUUAAGACAUGGGGUCCUGAAGCCCAGCUGCCUGGCGUGUUUAACUGGUUAAAUCCCAUGGUCCCCUGUGUCUCAAUGUCCUUACCACGAAGUGAGGGUAAUAUCACCAUCAGCACUAAGACAUUAGGUGUAGGGCUGGAGAGAUGGCUCAGCAGUUAAGAGCACCAACUGCUCUUCCAAAGGUCCUGAGUUCAAAUCCCAGCAACCACAUGGUGGCUCACAACCAUCCGUAAUAAGAUCUGACGCCCUCUUCUGAUGCAUCUGAAGACAGCUACAGUGUACUUAGAUAUAAUAAUAAAUAAAUCUAAAAAAAAAAGACAUUAAGUGUAGCCUGGCACAGAGUGAAUAUGUGAGCGUUUGAUAUUUGUGUUUUCCACACCCGGCUGGUAGAGCUUGGGACUGAGUGGUUCUCUACAUUCUAGUGAUCUACCUAUCAGCUUGUCCACCUUUCUAGAAGCCGCCUUUCAGCUCUGCAGACCGCUAACAGAGCUCAGCUUCAAACCAGUUUUCCCUGAGGUCAUGAGCCACGGUGCACCUGUCAGCAAUUGAACAAUUAAACAAAAAAAUCAAGGAAACAAAAAUUCACUACCUUCAACCAGCAGGGUGUAAUCAAUAUUUAUAGAUUAACAAUAGAAUACACACUCUUUUCAAGUAGCCUUAGAACAUAUUGAGAUGAGGGACUGGAAAUGGCGCUCAGAGGUUAAAAAUCCUUGUUGCUCCUGCAGAGGACCCAGGUUUGUUUCCUAGCACCUAUGUGUUGGCUCACAAAUGUCUGUAACUCUAGUUCUAGGAGACCUGACACCCCCCUCUGACCUCCGUGGGCGCCAGCCACAUAUGUAGUACACAUUUAUACAUGUAGGCAGAACACUUCAUACACAUAAAUAAAAAGUACAUUUUAGAGUGUUUUAAACACUGAGGUCAUGUAGCGUCUUCUCUGAUUACAAUGGGCUCAAGCUAAAAGCCGGCAACAGGAAGAUAACCAGCUCUGGUGUGAGGGUUAACGCCAGAUCGUAACUUGUUAUGCAACAUUCGCCUGAUAAACCUGGGAAGUCUGUUCUUUGGUUUUUGAAGGGAAAUGGAGGAGUGGAUCCGGGGGACUAAAAAUGAAAGGAAAUAAAUAAAAAAACAAAAACAAAAACAAUCUCUCCAAACACUAGGAAACUAAAUUCAUACCCUUGACCUCAGGGAGUGGCCAUCAGUUCCGGCUGUUGAGUGCUAACAACCCAGGGCUUGAAGGCUCUUCUUACAUCACCUAUGUUGCCUCCAGUGAGAAAGCAAAAGCUUUGAAAGCUUCCAGUUAUCCCUGACUAGAGCACCUCUUAUGGGUUCCUUAGAAUCGAUAGUGUCCCCCAAGCCACCCUGCGUGUCCCCAGAGGUGAAGCCCCCUUUGAUUCUACAGCAGUCAUUUUCAGUGGCUCCUCAGAUCUCUACCUAUAAUUCCUCUCUAGUAAGGUUCAGGCGUGGGGUGGAGGCUGGACUGGGACUGACUCAUAGUGUUACCACACCC